rnacentral:rRNA from 1 species
ACGAACGCUGGCGGCGUGCUUAACACAUGCAAGUCGAGCGGUAAGGCCUCUUCGGGGGUACACGAGCGGCGAACGGGUGAGUAACACGUGGGUGACCUGCCCUCAGCUCUGGGAUAAGCCUGGGAAACUGGGUCUAAUACCGGAUAUGACCACAUGUUGCAUGGUGUGUGGUGGAAAGUUUUUUCGGCUGGGGAUGGGCCCGCGGCCUAUCAGCUUGUUGGUGGGGUGAUGGCCCACCAAGGCGACGACGGGUAGCCGGCCUGAGAGGGCGACCGGCCACACUGGGACUGAGACACGGCCCAGACUCCUACGGGAGGCAGCAGUGGGGAAUAUUGCGCAAUGGGCGGAAGCCUGACGCAGCGACGCCGCGUGGGGGAUGACGGCCUUCGGGUUGUAAACCUCUUUCGACCGGGACGAAGCGUAAGUGACGGUACCGGUAGAAGAAGCACCGGCCAACUACGUG